UACAGAGGAUGCAAGCGUUAUCCGGAAUGAUUGGGCGUAAAGCGUCUGUAGGUGGCUUUUUAAGUCCGCCGUCAAAUCCCAGGGCUCAACUCUGGACAGGCGGUGGAAACUACCAAGCUGGAGUACGGUAGGGGCAGAGGGAAUUUCCGGUGGAGCGGUGAAAUGCGUAGAGAUCCGGAAGAACACCGGUGGCGAAGGCGGUUGGCUGGGCCACAACUGACACUGAUGCGCGACAGCGUGGGGAGCAAACAGG
rnacentral:rRNA from 1 species